rnacentral:lncRNA from 1 species
CCACAGCUCACCUCCCACCUGUCUGUACAAUGCCUGUGCCCUCCAUAGGCUGAUGCUUUCCCUAGAUCUUAGCCCCGCCCACUGCAUCAUAGACAGGCAGGGUAGCUAAGGCUAUGAUUCACCAGAGAGUUCAUUUUCUCCAAACCCAGGACAACAGUGGAGCGUUGAUAGCAGAGGCUGGUAGUGAACGUCAAAGAGUACUUAUCUUGUAGACAGAUCAUGCCAGAGAGAAGAAAACUAAAUACUGAAGGGCUCUCCCAUCACAGUGUGGGGUCAGCCAGGGACAAGGAGGGACAAGGCCCUAGUCUCCAGGGGUGUGAGAGAAAAAUGAAUUGGCGAGAGCUUGUCUCACACAGAAGACAGAAUGCCACUGGCAGCACCAGAAGACUGGGCAGCCAUGCACUUUGUGAAACCACUAGGGCACAUUUGGCUGCUCAGGAAGUCAAAGCCGGCCAGACCUCCCAAUCCACCUGUAGAAGUCUGGAUGCUCUGCAGGCAAGCCAGGCAGUGUCGCUCCCUCUUCUCCAGAAACCAAAGGAAGGAGAACAUCACCCACUCCGGGCGGUCUCUGCUGGCAGGGGUAAUAGAUUGGACACACUGAUUCCAUAGCAAAGCCUGGACGUGGUGACGCGGUGGCACAGCUUACUGGAUGGACUUAGUACUUGACUAGAGAACUUUUGGUGAAAUAUGCUUA